AUUGCAAGGAUUGUAGACAGCAGUGAGGAGGAGGGAAGAGUUGGGGUGAGAAUGUGUGAGGAGAGAGGACUGAGUGACUUCUAGGGAGCAGUAGUUACAGCGGCAAGUAGAAGACCAUUCUCAGACCUCCGAGGAGGAGCUGGGAGCAUCUCCUUCAAUAAUCACGAAGUACUGAGAGCUAGGCUCAGCCCUGUCUCCAUCUUGGGAUUUGGAAGGUGGAACUGCCCCCUGUCCUGCUCCCUUUUCCUGGACUGUGCAUUGCAUAUGGUGGCACACCAUGGCCUCCCUCAGCGACCACUCACUCCACGCACGGAGGACCGUUUACAUCCUGGCUGCCAGGCCGUUUUCCCAUGUCUUGGUUGGGCCAACCACCUUCUUACCCUGGCAUUUGAGUUUCCUCCUCCCGUGGGAGAUUCCAAGCCUAAGUGCGGGCAAUUAUCUUGGCUCUGAAGGAAGGAAGAAGUAGGAGGAUAUGAAGUAAAAGGGCUGCAGGUGACCAGAAGGGGAAGGAUGAGGGAUAACAGUGGCAGGAAGGCAAUGGUACACAGCUUCCACCAGUUCACACAGAAAAGUUAAAACAAUGUCAGGAACUUUUCAUAAAGUUAAAUGUAUUUAAUGAUUUUAUUCUGUGAUUAUGAACUCUCCAUGGUGUAUUAGAAUGUUCUUUCUUUUGUGAGUUAAUGGAAUUGAAAUAAAGAGUUGGUAAGUUGG
ensembl:lncRNA